GGGGGCCUACGGGACGCAGCAGUGGGGAAUAUUGCACAAUGGGGGAAACCCUGAUGCAGCAACGCCGCGUGAAGGAAGACGGUUUUCGGAUUGUAAACUUCUGUUCUUAGUGAAGAAAAAUGACGGUAGCUAAGGAGCAAGCCACGGCUAACUACGUGCCAGCAGCCGCGGUAAUACGUAGGUGGCAAGCGUUGUCCGGAAUUACUGGGUGUAAAGGGAGCGCAGGCGGGAAGCCAAGUCAGCUGUGAAAACUACGGGCUUAACUUGAAGACUGCAGUUGAAACUGGUUAUCUUGAGAGACGUAG
rnacentral:rRNA from 1 species